UUCAACACCAUGAACGUAAUAGAAAUUAUUGGGUUUCUGCCACACAGGGACUUUGUGAAGGGGCAGGAUCCACAAGACCAUGGAGAUGAGGUUCUCCCUGGCUUUUCUUCCCAGUAAAAGGCUUUGGGAAGACCUUUCAGUCCUCUGAAAUGGCAGCUGAGCAGGCAGGGAGCAGUGCUGCCAGAUGAUGUGGCCCAAAACCACAUGUGUACAUAGAGAGAGACAGGACAGUGCUCAGUGUUCCAGGCUGGAAGCUGGGACUGCUCUGGGACAAUCAGAUUCAGCGUUGACAGGGGUUGUUCUGAAUGUAACAGGAUCCCAUGGCAGAUGUAAACGCAGACUCCAGGCAUUUGCUGUGUGUUUCACCGAGGAGGUCAGUGUAUGAAUUUGCCUGUGAAAACAUUGAUGCUGGCUGCCAGCAUUACCCAUUCAAGAGCCGGGUGCUUUUCUCGGUGACAAAUGACGUGGUGUUAGUUUGUGA
rnacentral:lncRNA from 14 species